UGGUCAUGCGCCGAAGAUGUACCGGGGCUCAAACGCGCCACCGAAGCAUGGGAUUGCCUGUUGUGAACACUGCUUUUAGGCUCGCCGAAGGCGACAGAUGUACGCCAGGGGAGCGAGGACACGCUGAAGGCAGUGCUCACAACAGGCAGUGGUAGAGGAGCAUUGAAUCAGGGCAGAAGCUGGAGCGGGAGCACCAGUGGACUUGAUUCAAGAGAGAAUGCCGGUAUGAGUAGCGAGAGGCAAGCGAGAAACUUGCCCGUCGAAAGCCUAAGGUUUCCUGGGGAAGGUUCAUCCGCCCAGGGUAAGUCGGGACCUAAGCCGAGGACGGAAGUCGUAGGCGAUGGACAGCAGGUUGAGAUUCCUGCACCGCCUUGAGAAUGAUGCAAUGACACAGAAGGAUAGCAUGAGCCGGGUGAUGGUCAACUCGGUUUCCAGAGCGAGGGCGCUUGGUAGUGAAGUACGCCAAGCACAUAGCCUGAGCUGAAGAGGGAGCGAAAUUGAAGUAGCGAAGCAUGCGAUUUCACGCUGGCGAGAAAAGUUGCUGGUAUAUCGAAGAGGCGCCCGUACCGCAAACCGACGCAGGUAGGCGAGGUGAGAAUCCUAAGACGAACGGGAGAACCCUUGUUAAGGAACUCGGCAAAAUGACCCCGUAACUUCGGGAGAAGGGGUGCCGAUGGAAACAUCGGUCGCAGAGAAAAGGCUCAAGCGACUGUUUAGCAAAAACACAGGUAUCUGCGAAAGCGAGAGCUGACGUAUAGGUGCUGACACCUGCCCGGUGCUGGAAGGUUAAGGGGAAAUGUCAUCGCAAGAGAAGCAUAGAACCGAAGCCCCAGUAAACGGCGGCCGUAACUAUAACGGUCCUAAGGUAGCGAAAUUCCUUGUCGGGUAAGUUCCGACCCGCACGAAUGGUGUAACGAUUUGAGCGCUGUCUCAACAGGGGGCCCGGUGAAAUUGAAGUAUGGGUGAAGAUGCCCAUUACCCGCGACUGGACGGAAAGACCCCGUAGAGCUUGACUGUAGCCUGAUAUUGGAUUUCGGUAACGGAUGCACAGGAUAGGUGGGAGGCAAGGAAGCGAGGACUCCGGUUCUCGUGGAGCCGCCGUUGGGAUACCACUCUUCUGUUGCUGGAAUUCUAACAUGGCGCCGUGAAACCGGUGAAUGGACAGUGUCAGGUGGGCAGUUUGACUGGGGCGGUCGCCUCCGAAAGAGUAACGGAGGCGCCCAAAGGUACCCUCAGAAUGGAUGGAAACCAUUCAAAGAGUGUAAAGGCAGAAGGGUGCUUGACUGUGAGAGUGACAACUCGAUCAGAUACGAAAGUAGGGCUUAGUGAUCCGGCGGUAUUGAGUGGAAAAGCCGUCGCUUAACGGAUAAAAGCUACCUCGGGGAUAACAGGCUGAUCUCCCCCAAGAGUCCACAU
rnacentral:rRNA from 1 species